rnacentral:rRNA from 1 species
GAUGAACGCUAGCGGGAGGCCUAAUACAUGCAAGUCGAGCGGUAGAGUGACUUCGGUUGCUUGAGAGCGGCGAACGGGUGAGUAACGCGUACACAAUCUACCUUUAAGAGGGGAAUAGCCCUGGGAAACUGGGAUUAAUGCCCCAUGGCAUCACGAGACGGCAUCGUUUUGUUGGAUUAAAGCUGAGGUGCUUAGAGAUGAGUGUGCGUCUGAUUAGCUAGUUGGUGCGGUAACGGCGCACCAAGGCGACGAUCAGUAGGGGGCGUGAGAGCGUGGACCCCCACACGGGUACUGAGACACGG